UUUAUAAUAAUUCUAUUUAAUUGCAUUUUCUUGAACAGGCCUAAAGGAACUGAGACUCUUUGUUCAGAUCUGCAAGUAGACCAUACUGAUGUCAGGAUAUUGAUGCUUGCCUGGAAGAUGAAAGCUGAAAAACAAGGAUACUUUACCCUGGCCACAAUGGGAAGGUGGUCAGUAUGGGGGUGAUGAAAACAUGCGGUUGGAUACACUUCGUUUAGCUAAAGAACUGGGAGCAGAUUAUAUUGAUUUGGAGCUCAAGGUAUUUGUAUUUGACAUCAAUUCAUCUGCAGGAAAAUACAUUGAAUUCUGUUAGAUGAUGUCAAGUUAUUUGGAAUUUUACAUGCUUUCUCCAACAAAAUUUGAACUAAUUACAAGCCAAGAAGUCUAAUCAUAUUCAAAGCAACUUAAACAAACUGUAAUCUGAUGUCAUUUUCCCUGGCUCAAUGGUGGCCCUGGUUGCUCUAGCUUUGAUGGAUUUGUCUAUGAGCACGGUAAUCAUUCAAUCAAUUAUUUUUUUUUUUUUACAUUCUAAGAAUAUAUUAUUGAUUAUGUUUAGUCAUUUUUUUUUUCUUUUCUUUGUGUUACUGUAUGGUUUCCAUAUUGUCUUUUUUGGUUUGUUGAGGAAAACUUGAUUGAAGCUUUUGCUAAUCUUGUGAAUCACUAAAACUGCUUGGAUUCCUUGGAUUGAGGCACAGAUGAAAAUUUUAUACUGUGUACUUCAAAAUAUGUGAAGUGUGUACUUCAA